AUGGAAUAGUGGAAAUUAAAUACUUAACAAUAUGAUACCUUAGUUAAACGGAUAAUAGAAUUAUACAACAAUGACUUGAAGGUUGGGUUUUUGUCUUUGUUUUUUUUUGGGGGUGGGGGGUGGGCAAGAAGAUUGUCAUUUCUGCAUUCUGGUCUUCACUUUUGCUCUGUUGAAAAUUGUAGAAUGCAAUUCGGCAGGAAUUGGUAGUUGCGAGUUGUGUGAGUGUUAUUCUCAGUGAUCAGUAUGUAAUUUUAAAUUUACUUGUGAAUUUAUUGGUAGAAUUAUUCUGAAAAGAUAUAGCAAAAGGCGAAAUUAAUGUUGUGUGCUUUAGUGAGAGUGAUUUGAGUUAUUUCUCUUGGUACAUAAUUGUCAAUACGGUAAAUUUUCGAACUAUAUGAGAGAAAAUGAGGUAUAUUAAUAUAUUUGAAUGCGAAUGCAG
rnacentral:lncRNA from 1 species